ensembl:lncRNA LINC01016 long intergenic non-protein coding RNA 1016
GGACGGAGGCAGCCGUUAGGAACGGCCCCACUCCACCAGCCGGCCCCGCGGGACGGUUACUCUGUUCCUGAGAUUGUCUGUGGGGUCAGAAACAGCUCUGGAGGGGUCUGCAGAAAUUACUUUCCCAAGUCUUUGGGCUGGAAGGAACGAACAGUGCCUGACCAAGGACUUUGAGCAGGAGAGAGAUGGGAGCAGAGAGGAGCCAAGGUCUACUAUUUUCACUUCUGUCAAUUAGAUCAAAGCCCUGCCCAGAAGCUUUGAGCGCCGCUGUCAAGUCCCAUUCCUCCCCUAAACCAUCCAGGUUCCAUCUGCCUUGAAGCCAAAGGAUCUUCUUAGAUUCCUCAAGAAAAAUUCAGGCCCCGAGUUUCUCCACCAGCACUCUCCUCUCCCCGAAGGAGUGGGUGGGCUGCAUUUCUCUUCAUAUUCUAUUCCAUUCCAGACCGUCUUGGACUACCAGCCUGUCCGCCACCCCUCGGGGCCCUCCCUCCUACUCUGCCCUUGCCCGCUGAGGUCCCAAGCUGAGGAGAUGAGCCGAGCAGUAAAAAGAGAGGAGGUUUGGAAAAGCAAUGUCCUCUCAGUCUUUAAUAGGUGGCCCCCCUGGGAACCUGCUGGAAGUGGAAGUUAAUAAGCUGAAGGUGGUCACAACCAAUCUCUGCCACACUCGCACCCUACCCCACCCCAAAUCAUUCCUUUUAAUUAAUAGUGGAAGACCUUUUUAAAAAUGUAACAUGAAUUGGCUAUUUCUUGAGGCAAACAAAAGGUGGCUCUGAAGCGAUAUAUUUGUACUCGUAUAAAUUCAUUAAAAUAGAAAGCUUAUAACCA